GUUUCUGUGGUGUAGUGGUUAUCAUGCUCGCCUCGCGUGCAAGAGGUCCCCGGUUCGAGGCCGGGUGGGAACA